rnacentral:rRNA from 1 species
UACGGGGGGAGCAAGGCGUUGUUCGGAUUUACUGGGCGUAAAGCGCGCGCAGGUGGUUUCUUAAGUCUGAUGUGAAAGCCCACGGCUCAACCGUGGAGGGUCAUUGGAAACUGGGGAACUUGAGUGCAGAAGAGGAAAGUGGAAUUCCAAGUGUAGCGGUGAAAUGCGUAGAGAUUUGGAGGAACACCAGUGGCGAAGGCGACUUUCUGGUCUGUAACUGACACUGAGGCGCGAAAGCGUGGGGAGCGAACAGG